rnacentral:rRNA from 1 species
AAAAGCUCGUAGUUGGAUUUUGCAGGAGGGCGCACGACCGGGCUUUGCUCAGGCCGCGCGCCUACCUGUUUUUUGUCGGGGACUACGCCACUCUUAACCGGGGGGCGCUAGGACGCGGCUCGUUUACUUUGAGAAAAUUAGAGUGUUCAAAGCAGGCCUUUGCUUGAAUACAUUAGCAUGGAAUAAUGGAAUAGGACUUUGGUUCUAUUUUGUUGGUUUCUGGAACCGAAGUAAUGAUUAAUAGGGAUAGUUGGGGGCGUUUAUAUUUCCAUGUCAGAGGUGAAAUUCUUGGAUUUUGGAAAGAUAAACUUCUGCGAAAGCWUUCGCCAAGGAUGUUUUCAUUAAUCAAGAACGAAAGUUAGGGGAUCGAAGACGAUCAGAUACCGUCGUAGUCUUAACCAUAA